rnacentral:rRNA from 1 species
ACGUUGGGAAUCUACCUCUAACACAGGGAUAGCUCGUCGAAAGACGAAUUAAUACCUGAUAGUCCCUAUACCUGUAAUGGUAUUGGGUAAAGCUCCGGUGGUUAGAGAUGAACCUGCGACUUAUCAGCUUGUUGGUGAGGUAAUGGCUCACCAAGGCUAUUACGAGUAGCUGGUCUGAGAGGAUGGUCAGCCACACUGGGACUGUGACACGGCCCAGACUCCUACGGGAGGCAGCAAUCAGGAAUCUUGCGCAAUGGGGGAAACCCUGACGCAGCGACGCCGCGUGAAGGAUGACGGCCUUCGGGUUGUAAACUUCUUUUAUACAGGACGAUAAUGACUUUACUGUACGAAUAAGCGCCUGCUAACUACGUGCCAGCAGCCGCGGUAAUACGUAGGGCGCAAACGUUAUCCGGGAUUAUUGGGCGUAAAGGGUUGCGUACGCGGUUUAUUAAGUUCUUAGUGAAAUCCUUCGGCUCAACUGAAGACCCGCUAAGAAUACUGGUAGACUAGAAGCCAUGGAGGGGAAAGUGGAACUCUUGGUGUAGGGGUGAAAUCCGUUGAUAUCAAGAGGAACACCAAAGGCGUAGGCAACUUUCUGGCCAUGUUUUGACGCUGAUGCACGAAAGCGUGGGGAGCGAAACGGAUUAGAUACCCGUG